rnacentral:rRNA from 1 species
UACGUAGGGGGCUAGCGUUGUCCGGAUUUAUUGGGCGUAAAGAGCUCGUAGGCGGUUUGGUGAGUCGGGUGUGAAAUCUCCACGCUCAACGUGGAGGAGCCACCCGAUACUGCCAUGACUAGAGUCCGGUAGGGGAGUGUGGAAUUCCCGGUGUAGCGGUGAAAUGCGCAGAUAUCAGGAGGAACACCGAUGGCGAAGGCAGGUCUCUGGGCCGAUACUGACGCUGAGGAGCGAAAGCGUGGGGAGCGAACAGG